rnacentral:piRNA from 1 species
UAUACUUUAGCCUUAAGGUAGCCCCAAA